rnacentral:rRNA from 1 species
GAUGAACGCUGGCGGCGUGCCUAAUACAUGCAAGUCGAGCGAACAGACGAGGAGCUUGCUCCUUUGACGUUAGCGGCGGACGGGUGAGUAACACGUGGGUAACCUACCUAUAAGACUGGGAUAACUUCGGGAAACCGGAGCUAAUACCGGAUAAUAUUUCGAACCGCAUGGUUCGAUAGUGAAAGAUGGCUUUGCUAUCACUUAUAGAUGGACCUGCGCCGUAUUAGCUAGUUGGUAAGGUAACGGCUUACCAAGGGAACGAUACGUAGCCGACCUGAGAGGGUGAUCGGCCACACUGGAACUGAGACACGGUCCAGACUCCUACGGGAGGCAGCAGUAGGGAAUCUUCCGCAAUGGGCGAAAGCCUGACGGAGCAACGCCGCGUGAGUGAUGAAGGUCUUCGGAUCGUAAAACUCUGUUAUUAGGGAAGAACAAACGUGUAAGUAACUGUGCACGUCUUGACGGUACCUAAUCAGAAAGCCACGGCUAACUACGUG